GAAGAAGCUCUAUCAUUCCAAUAUCUGCAGUUUCACAUGCGAGGUGAAGCAACGAGCAUCCAUGAAGACCUUCCGAUACACUGUCUUCACCAGUACUUGUAGAGCUAGACGACGGCUCCAGAAAACCAGAAUACUGAUCAAAGGAGGUUUGUUCUUGAUACAGAGCUAAUCUGGCAAGGGUAAGAGUAGUGUUACAAGUUCCUUGACCAUAUUUAGUAUUUACAUCUGCAUCAGAGUUAACUAUGAGUCUAUACGCAGCCUUCUUAUCAUUAGCACGUACAGCAUCCCACAUCUGUUGUGCCACUGAACGAUUUUCCUUGGAUUUCCGCAUGAAAAUUUUUUCUGCAUACUGCAGUAAAGAAAAGAAGUUAUGCAUGCUGUAUCAGGAAAAUAAAUUUGAAUAAUCACCCACUAGAAGGUAUCACAGAUCACAUUUGCCUGAGUUAUUUAUUACAUGGCUCCAGAAAACCAGAAUACUGAUCAAAGGAGGUUUGUUCUUGAUACAGAGCUAAUCUGGCAAGGGUAAGAGUAGUGUUACAAGUUCCUUGACCAUAUUUAGUAUUUACAUCUGCAUCGGAGUUAACUAUGAGUCUAUACGCAGCCUUCUUAUCAUUAGCACGUACAGCAUCCCACAUCUG
rnacentral:lncRNA from 1 species